rnacentral:rRNA from 1 species
UACGUAGGGUGCAAGCGUUUGUCCGGAAUUAUUGGGCGUAAAGAGCUUGUAGGCGGUUUGUCGCGUCUGCUGUGAAAUUUCGGGGCUCAACCCCGAACUUGCAGUGGGUACGGGCAGACUAGAGUGUGGUAGGGGGAGACUGGAAUUCCUGGUGUAGCGGUGAAAUGCGCAGAUAUCAGGAGGAACACCGGUGGCGAAGGCGGGUCUCUGGGCCGUAACUGACGCUGAGGAGCGAAAGCAUGGGGAGCGAACAGG